CCCUGAGGUCCUGGAGCUUGUGGACAUUGGGUUCCAGCGGUUUGUAGUGACUGGUGGCCUUGGUAGACUUGGAAAGCUCCACGAAAUUCCUCUGCACCUCCUGGCACAGGACGUGGUUCUUGGUCACGAAGAUCUGAUGUUGAGGUUGAUGUCAAACUUCGCCAGCAGACCUACCAGCUUUCCCGUGCGUUUGAGCAUGCCUUUCUGGAAGAGGAUAUGCAUCAACGUGUUCCCGCUGCCGUCCUGCAUGUUGGGGUUGAGACAUGUGGGAUCUUAGUUCCCCGACUAGGGAUGGAACCUGUGCCCCCUGCAGUGCUUUCUCAUCUACAUGCAAAAGCCACCCAAAGAUAACCAUCUCCAUUUUCAUCAGAAUGGGGCACAGUAUCUGCCAGAAAGAGCCAAAGGACCACAGAUGUGAAAAACGAAACCCAUCAAGUGGACUUCCCUGGUGGUACAGCGGACAAGAAUCUGCCUGCCAACGCAGCGGACAUGGGUUCGAUAUCUGGUCCAGAAAGAUUCCACAUUCCUCAGAGCAACUAAAGCCCCU